rnacentral:rRNA from 1 species
CGCCUGUUUAACAAAAACAUGUCUUUCUGAUAAUAAUAAAAAGUCGAGCCUGCCCAAUGAAUAUUAAAUGGCUGCAGUAUUUUGACUGUACAAAGGUAGCAUAAUCAUUAGUUUUUUAAUUGAAAACUAGAAUGAAUGGUUUAACGAAAAACUUUCUGUUUCUUAAUAAAAAUAUGAAUUUUAUUUUUUAGUUAAAAAGCUAAAAUAUUUUUAAAAGACGAGAAGACCCUAUAGAGUUUUAUAUAUAUAGAUUAUAAAUUUUUAAUUUUAUAAUUUAAUUAUAUUUUAUUGGGGUGAUAGGAAAAUUUAUUAAACUUUUCUUAAUUUAUACAUUUAUUUAUGAAUAUAUGAUCCAUUAAUUAUGAUUAUAAGAAUAAAUUACCUUAGGGAUAACAGCGUAAUUUAUUUUUAGAGUUCCUAUCGAAAAAUAAGUUUGCGACCUCGAUGUUGGAUUAA